rnacentral:lncRNA from 1 species
AAAGGGCCUCCUAGUGUUGUCAUAAAACCUGCAUCUGAAGGCUGAAAAUUUAAAGAAAGGGAGAGAUACCAGAACCGUGUAAGGAAAUCCUGCCCUGUCUCUCCAUACCUACUGGACAGGGAAGGCAAACUUCAGGAAUGAUAAAUGAGACAGACCAUAUGAUGUACCUGGAAACACCUGGAAACGUUAAAGGAAGUGCAAGCCAAUGGGAGGAGGUGGCGUUCACACAGAUCAGUCUAAAAUCAACUUGCUGUGCACUGCGCCUCUGUGACAAGUCUCCUCCUGCUGGCGUCUCGGUGAGCUCUGACAUGGGAAGGAUCCCUAACCAUCACCAAGUGAAUAAUUUGUCUCUCCAGUAAAUUGCACAUCACGGUAAAGAGCCAUUUCUCUCAGGCUUCUCGCACUUCAGCUUUCUGUAAUGCAUCCAACACGGAGAUGUGUGGUUCUCACCUAUUUAAGUCAUUGAUGAGGUUAGUGGUUGACAACAGGCAUCAAAUUAGGGGGUGGCCAAAAGUCUCAGGUGGGUUUUGGACUGUGUGAGCCAGCAGGAUAUCCCCCUGGACUAUUCAAGCUCACUUCCAGACCCCCAGUCCCACUUUUAAAAUAUCUAUCUAUCUAUCUAUCUAUCUAUCUAUCUAUCUAUCUAUCUAUCUAUCUAUCUUUUAUUUAUUUAUUUAUCUAUCUAUUUAUUUAGCACGUGUGCAUUUGUCUGUGUAUGUGUCUGUGUAUAUCUCAAGCAUGCAGGUGCCCUCAGAGGCAAAAAGAAAGCAUUGGAUCUCUGGAUUCCCAGUUUCAGAAAACUAGUUGUAAAACUGCCCAACAUGGAUGCUGGCAACUAAAGUCAAGUCUUCCAGAAGAACAGUACUCAUCUGCUGGCUCCAGCCCCUCGAUGCUACCCUGGCUCUAUAAAGCAGACUCUGUAGGAACCUUAAAAAUAUGUCCCACCCUUUGGGAGCCAAAGUGGUUCUUCUGAUUUACGAGUUCUGAGUCUACAUCUGGCUGGCAGAGACGGACAAUCAUGAGGAUGAUAAUUCUUUUAUCAGAGCGUGAGGGAAGGGAAGAGUGAAGACGGUUAGCAUGGGAGGAGGGGUAGAAGAAGAAAGGGAGAAAGGAGUCUUACCUUAACAUUGCUCUGUUUUUCAAAGUGUUUUCCCUUGAAUAGUGGUCUUACAUUUUGAAAUGUUUUUAUCUUUUUUUUUAUUAAAAAAAAAACGUGUGUGCUUUUGUAUGUGCGCGCAUAUAUGCAGAAGUCAGAGGAAAACAGGAGUAACAGGAGUCAGUUCUCUUUCUUACUAUCCUGGGUUGUGGGGAUUGAACUCUGGUUGUCAGGCAAGGCAGCCAGCGUUUCUCCUCUCUGAGCUAGCUCAGCAGCUAGCAGCUCCCUCUUAUGCCACAUGCCUUUGUCUUUGCUUCUUUCUCUAACUGACAUCACUAUUUAUCACCCUCAUUCAUCUCUAAGAACAGAGUCCCCGGACUCAUUGCCACUCUGGGAAGACGUUGUUGGUUUCUGUCUUCUCUUUCUUAGUUGCUUCACAUAAAUCUUUCCCUACUUCUCAUUCAAAGCCCCCACUAGGAUUUCCUUAUUGAUUGUCAGAGGUUGGCAGAAUUCUGGGGUUCCAUCCAUGCUCCACUGAAUUCUCACAGCAUGCUGUCCCCCAUGAUUCCUGUCAUCUGGUUCUAUAUGCCAUUGUCUCUUUAAGAAGCAACAGGUUCCCCUCCCUUGCUUUUCCCUGACUCUGAAAAAAAGACUUUAAAAUGUCCAUUGCACGCACUCUUUCUUCCUUUAGUUGUAGCUUUGAUGUCUCUGCUCAUAUUGAUGACUCUGCUCCUUAUUCAUUCUGGCUUUCUCUUCACAAUCUUAAUAUAAUAUUUAGCGAGCCUGGGGCUCAGCUGACUACUUGUAUGAUCUCUGUAUAUUUCACCGAACAUCCUGGAUCUUAGACAUACCUUUGUCUUCCUUUAUUUCGGUGCUGCAGAUCUUUCCCUUGACCCUGUGGCUGCCCUGCUGCUGCUGGGAGACAGCCAUUCUCAGCACCAUGGCGCAGGUGGAAGGAGGCCUCGAAUGUCCCGUGUAGGUUACACGCUGCAGAGUUUUGGAAGAAAGUCUCUGCCACAAUGGUGCUGAGCCCAAAUCUCAUGUACUUCCAACACAGUCAGUGGCUGUCUCUUUCUUGAAUGCUAAGGCUAUAACUGGGGUGCCCCAGAGUGUGCACAGGACUGCCAAGUUCUGGACACAGCAUCUUCUUCAGGUUGAGUCACCGGGAUGUUGGAAUGAAUAGUGAGCAAUUUGAUAAUUCCUCAAACUCCUCACUAAGCAGGCUCACAUUGGAGUUCUCCGCUCCACUGCCAUUUGGGGGACAAGACAAAACAAAACAAUACUAGUUGUGCCACUCUGUGCCUGGAGGGAAAAGAUUACCUAUAACCAAUUCUAGUCCCUAGCAUUCUAGAUUAUAAAAACCUUCAUGUGGCUGAAGCAACUGAAAUUCUCUACAGUUCUGAGGGUUGCAAGACCAAGGUCAAGGGGUCAGCAGACUGUCUUCUCUUUCAUUGGCUGGAUGGCUGUCUAUCCCUAUCUUUCCGUCUUCUCUCCAUGAGUCCUCAUUCCCAUCUCCUCUUCUCACGGAAACAUCCUUUUGGAUUCAAGUCCAACUUAAUGAUCUAAUUUUACCUUGGCAUUUUUGAAGAUGCCGUAUGUAAAUGGGGUGAUAUUUUGUACUCAAGGGGUUAGGCCGACAAUGGAGGAAUCUGGAACCACAUGCAGAUCUCUGGACUGUGUGGAUUCCCUUUUCUUGCUCACAUCAGAACUGAGUGGCCUUGUCUACAUUUUCUGAAAUCCAGCCCAUAAUGCCACGACUAUUCUCAUUAACUUCAGCCUAUAGCCACGGUGACGGUUCAUGGUUUGUAUUGCAUCAGGAGCUUGCUGCCGUUGACAAAGUUGACAUUAUACCUUUGUGACACCCCAGAACCUCUGGCAGUGUUCAGCUUCCUUUCUAGUUCUUCCCUGUCAAACAGUGGCUUCUACUAGACCUUCAUCUCUAUAGUCACCCGUGGUCACAUGGUAGGAAGCCAACUGCCAAAGGAAACACUUUUAACUGAAGUGAAAAGAAAUAAAUGUGGUUUUCAUUCUA